UACGUAGGGUGCAAGCGUUGUCCGGAAUUAUUGGGCGUAAAGAGCGUGUAGGCGGCCCGAUUAGUCCGCUGUGAAAGUCCAGGGCUCAACCCUGGAAUGCCGGUGGAUACUGUCGGGCUAGAGUCCGGAAGGGGCGAGUGGAAUUCCUGGUGUAGCGGUGAAAUGCGCAGAUAUCAGGAGGAACACCAAUGGCGAAGGCAGCUCGCUGGGACGUGACUGACGCUGAGACGCGAAAGCGUGGGGAGCGAACAGA
rnacentral:rRNA from 1 species